AAAAACAUAGUAUAAUAAAUACAUUUCAUUUACACUGAAAAAAUACUUAACUAAAAGUUGUUUUUAC
rnacentral:tRNA from 1 species